AGAAUCAACAAACUCUGGCUCU
rnacentral:miRNA from 1 species